rnacentral:rRNA from 1 species
GGGUUGUGAGGUUAAGCGACUAAGCGUACACGGUGGAUGCCCUGGCAGUCAGAGGCGAUGAAGGACGUGCUAAUCUGCGAUAAGCGUCGGUAAGGUGAUAUGAACCGUUAUAACCGGCGAUUUCCGAAUGGGGAAACCCAGUGUGAUUCGUCACACUAUCAUUAACUGAAUCCAUAGGUUAAUGAGGCGAACCGGGGGAACUGAAACAUCUAAGUACCCCGAGGAAAAGAAAUCAACCGAGAUUCCCCCAGUAGCGGCGAGCGAACGGGGAGCAGCCCAGAGCCUGAAUCAGUGUGUGUGUUAGUGGAAGCGUCUGGAAAGGCGUGCGAUACAGGGUGACAGCCCCGUACACAAAAAUGCACAUGCUGUGAGCUCGAUGAGUAGGGCGGGACACGUGGUAUCCUGUCUGAAUAUGGGGGGACCAUCCUCCAAGGCUAAAUACUCCUGACUGACCGAUAGUGAACCAGUACCGUGAGGGAAAGGCGAAAAGAACCCCGGCGAGGGGAGUGAAAAAGAACCUGAAACCGUGUACGUACAAGCAGUGGGAGCACAGAGCAAUCUGUGUGACUGCGUACCUUUUGUAUAAUGGGUCAGCGACUUAUAUUCUGUAGCAAGGUUAACCGAAUAGGGGAGCCGAAGGGAAACCGAGUCUUAACUGGGCGUUAAGUUGCAGGGUAUAGACCCGAAACCCGGUGAUCUAGCCAUGGGCAGGUUGAAGGUUGGGUAACACUAACUGGAGGACCGAACCGACUAAUGUUGAAAAAUUAGCGGAUGACUUGUGGCUGGGGGUGAAAGGCCAAUCAAACCGGGAGAUAGCUGGUUCUCCCCGAAAGCUAUUUAGGUAGCGCCUCGUGAAUUCAUCUCCGGGGGUAGAGCACUGUUUCGGCAAGGGGGUCAUCCCGACUUACCAACCCGAUGCAAACUGCGAAUACCGGAGAAUGUUAUCACGGGAGACACACGGCGGGUGCUAACGUCCGUCGUGAAGAGGGAAACAACCCAGACCGCCAGCUAAGGUCCCAAAGUCAUGGUUAAGUGGGAAACGAUGUGGGAAGGCCCAGACAGCCAGGAUGUUGGCUUAGAAGCAGCCAUCAUUUAAAGAAAGCGUAAUAGCUCACUGGUCGAGUCGGCCUGCGCGGAAGAUGUAACGGGGCUAAACCAUGCACCGAAGCUGCGGCAGCGACGCUUAUGCGUUGUUGGGUAGGGGAGCGUUCUGUAAGCCUGCGAAGGUGUGCUGUGAGGCAUGCUGGAGGUAUCAGAAGUGCGAAUGCUGACAUAAGUAACGAUAAAGCGGGUGAAAAGCCCGCUCGCCGGAAGACCAAGGGUUCCUGUCCAACGUUAAUCGGGGCAGGGUGAGUCGACCCCUAAGGCGAGGCCGAAAGGCGUAGUCGAUGGGAAACAGGUUAAUAUUCCUGUACUUGGUGUUACUGCGAAGGGGGGACGGAGAAGGCUAUGUUGGCCGGGCGACGGUUGUCCCGGUUUAAGCGUGUAGGCUGGUUUUCCAGGCAAAUCCGGAAAAUCAAGGCUGAGGCGUGAUGACGAGGCACUACGGUGCUGAAGCAACAAAUGCCCUGCUUCCAGGAAAAGCCUCUAAGCAUCAGGUAACAUCAAAUCGUACCCCAAACCGACACAGGUGGUCAGGUAGAGAAUACCAAGGCGCUUGAGAGAACUCGGGUGAAGGAACUAGGCAAAAUGGUGCCGUAACUUCGGGAGAAGGCACGCUGAUAUGUAGGUGAAGCGACUUGCUCGUGGAGCUGAAAUCAGUCGAAGAUACCAGCUGGCUGCAACUGUUUAUUAAAAACACAGCACUGUGCAAACACGAAAGUGGACGUAUACGGUGUGACGCCUGCCCGGUGCCGGAAGGUUAAUUGAUGGGGUCAGCGCAAGCGAAGCUCUUGAUCGAAGCCCCGGUAAACGGCGGCCGUAACUAUAACGGUCCUAAGGUAGCGAAAUUCCUUGUCGGGUAAGUUCCGACCUGCACGAAUGGCGUAAUGAUGGCCAGGCUGUCUCCACCCGAGACUCAGUGAAAUUGAACUCGCUGUGAAGAUGCAGUGUACCCGCGGCAAGACGGAAAGACCCCGUGAACCUUUACUAUAGCUUGACACUGAACAUUGAGCCUUGAUGUGUAGGAUAGGUGGGAGGCUUUGAAGUGUGGACGCCAGUCUGCAUGGAGCCGACCUUGAAAUACCACCCUUUAAUGUUUGAUGUUCUAACGUUGACCCGUAAUCCGGGUUGCGGACAGUGUCUGGUGGGUAGUUUGACUGGGGCGGUCUCCUCCUAAAGAGUAACGGAGGAGCACGAAGGUUGGCUAAUCCUGGUCGGACAUCAGGAGGUUAGUGCAAUGGCAUAAGCCAGCUUGACUGCGAGCGUGACGGCGCGAGCAGGUGCGAAAGCAGGUCAUAGUGAUCCGGUGGUUCUGAAUGGAAGGGCCAUCGCUCAACGGAUAAAAGGUACUCCGGGGAUAACAGGCUGAUACCGCCCAAGAGUUCAUAUCGACGGCGGUGUUUGGCACCUCGAUGUCGGCUCAUCACAUCCUGGGGCUGAAGUAGGUCCCAAGGGUAUGGCUGUUCGCCAUUUAAAGUGGUACGCGAGCUGGGUUUAGAACGUCGUGAGACAGUUCGGUCCCUAUCUGCCGUGGGCGCUGGAGAACUGAGGGGGGCUGCUCCUAGUACGAGAGGACCGGAGUGGACGCAUCACUGGUGUUCGGGUUGUCAUGCCAAUGGCACUGCCCGGUAGCUAAAUGCGGAAGAGAUAAGUGCUGAAAGCAUCUAAGCACGAAACUUGCCCCGAGAUGAGUUCUCCCUGACUCCUUGAGAGUCCUGAAGGAACGUUGAAGACGACGACGUUGAUAGGCCGGGUGUGUAAGCGCAGCGAUGCGUUGAGCUAACCGGUACUAAUGAACCGUGAGGCUUAACCUUACAACGCCGAAGGCGUUUUG